rnacentral:misc_RNA from 1 species
AAAAAAAAAAAAAAAACUCUUUUAAAUGCUGGAAAAGGCGGUUUGAAAUUGCUUUUAGCUGUUAAACGUGACAAAUUUAAUUUCAAAAGAAUUUUUAAUGCCUUUAAUUAACAUAUUUAAGGUAGUAUUUUUAUCAAUAGUAGUUCAACUAACAAUACCAAAUAGUUGCUUACUAGGAGAAUAUUUUGUAUCUUGAGUAGAAUUUAAUUAUAAGAUUCUUUUGCCUUGAUAACUGGCAUUGAUUAUUGAAAGGGUGAUUUACAAUUUCAUCCCUGAGGUUUGACAUUAUUAAUUAGUUCCUAUAUUUUCAAAUUUGAAUGAAUCAAUUCUCAUUUAUUCAUUUUGUCAUUAAUUAAGUGUCUUCAUCGAAAAAGAGCACAUUUUGCCUUUAGUUUUUGGUGGAAAGACAUUAUUAUCCUUAUAAUAGGUCUAAAUUUGCCCAUUUGCAGAUUGGGUUAAUCCGAAAGGGAUACUUAUGUAGAGCUAUUUGUUGAUGCAUCCAUUAUAAGGAUACCCAACUCAAAGUUUUCUUUUGACAAAAGAUCCAACACAAUGGUUCACACCAUCAUUCAUAUGUGCUUUUGUUUACACAUGGAAAUGUGUUUGAUAGAUGUUUAAGUCGUUCUUGGAAUUUUCCUUUCUUUUAUGAGGGCAAUGGGCCUGCGCAUUGAAACACUCAUCUGAAGGUAGUUGCUUGUUUUUGUAGGGGGUGAGAAGAGAAGUUGGAA